ACUUGGAGUAAUUCAGUAGCAUGGCAAUGUGGACACAGAUCCUGAUUUUGGUAAAAGAAGUACUCGAAAUAUCCGACGAAAAGCAAUUUCUUGGAUUAUACACGAAGAAAAUGUUAGUUAAUGGAACAAUAGCAGCAGUAGAACUACCUUGCUGGUACCCUAACGAAGCCGGUCAUCAGAUGUGCAUUGAAACCCUAUCGAACCCUUGUGUUACCAUGGUAAUCAGCCGUUAUCAACAAGGCAUGGUAGUGCAUGGAUAUAGUGGAAUUCAAGCCUUGGUGGACCUUUCUUCUGUAUUUGUCCAGUCUUGUUGAUGGUAGACAGCUGUUCCACACCUCGUACACAACAGAGAAACCCCCUCGGACGAAGAAUUCGUUCAGAUCUAAAAGGCAAGAAGACAGUUUUUGCCAUUAUUGAAAGACAUAGGAAAAAAGGCAAUGACAGAAAACAAAUAUCACCAUACCGUCUUGUCUUGAAUGUUUCCAACAUCUGACAGCCCGAUGUAAGCCAGAUUUACAAGUAAGAAGUAUCUGCAGAAGAAAGAACCAAUUAUGGUAGAUCCACGACAGUCCUGGCACAAGCAAACAUGGCAUCACCACAGCCCUGACACAAGCCUUGUUGAGAUUAGAUAUAAACUUACAUGUAUAUAAUUAUACCUUCAUGUACAAAGUACACGGGAUUAUAUUGGAGUCACACAUGUCAGCGGGUCCGUUCGUCCGAUCUGUCCAUCAUGCCCGCUGGGAAGAUUAAAAUAAUGGCUUCAUUUAUUAGCCUCAACAACAAUGUUCGUUGUACACAACCCGAGUUACUAGGCCCAAUGCCACUAUUACUCUUGGAGGACAAAGUUCAAAUAACUUUAAUUUAGUGUCCGCUCCAUAUUGUAUUAACUGCAACGAAUAUUUAGGUCAAGCAUUCGUUAUUGUACUCGCCUUCAGGGUCUCUGUCACCAUUGCAUUCAGGUUAAUAUUUUAUAUGAUUCUCAAAGUCACUAUAUUUUCUUAACUACUGCCCAUAUUAGCAUCAAAAUUCACAUAAGUGUUGAUUGUGGUAAAACGCAGACAUUUAUUUGUUAGGGGUCAAGCAUCCAAAAGGUCAUAUUUUGUAAUUGUGCUGGUUAAAUCUUAGAUUGUUUCUUAUAUCAUCUCAUUCACCCGCCCCUACUCCCUACCCUACCCCAAAAGGAAAAAAAGUCUUAUUGUUUUAUCACUCAUGCUUACUUAUAUCCUAUAACAAUAAAUAUUGGUCAGCAUUUCCGAAUAGUCACGCGGGCUUUCCUUACAACAGUUCUUGAUAUGAAUACAGGAUUAGUAAAUAGAUUUAAGCACUCACAACCUAGUUCAUUCGGUCAAAGGUCAAGUUCUGACUUAAAAGACCGCACCAUAUUGUCUAAUCUAAUAAAGUAAGCACUAACUGUCAAUUCCAUCUAGCCACUAGGUUAAAGGUCAGUGUGACACAUAUGAGGUCAAAGGUCAAAUAGCUUUGUGUCUGCUACAUAUCUUGUAACCCCAUAUUCCAUACACUCAUAAAACUAGCAAUAAAUAUCAAGAAGACCUGUUAGAAACCCAGAUUAUUAGAUCCAUGGACAAGGUUAUACUUGAAUGUCAAAAUGAUGACCAAAAUUGACUUACCCUGCAUCAAAGCAGCGUCUGGGGGUAACAAUAGCACUAGUUUAUCAUUUUAGCGGACUAAAUUUGUAAUUGUAUCAACCAUUUGACAACCAUUUGACAAAUAUUUCCUAAAUUUUAGGAUAAAUAUUUAAAACAAAUAUCAGGAAAUUGUUUGUUUUUUGAUACAGUCGGACUAUUUUUUAGACACAACGGAUAUUUAGCUUGAUUUGUUGACAGUCAUGAUUUCAUGCAAGUUAUUUUUCUAAAUGAUAUUUUUAUUACAAAUACAAAAUGUAGCACAUUUGACAUUAAUGUAAAAAAUCAGGGACAGCGAAUUUUGUAAGAAAAAAUAUAGUAGGUUAAAUAUUUCAAAAAUUUUUGCUCUUUUGAACAGUUGCGUUUUAACUGGUCAGGGAUUGUUUCAAAAAUAAAUAUGCGUAGUUUAGUUGAUGUAUAAAAAGCUACUUUUCGCAACUUGUAUAUUUUGGAGUGGGGGCUAAAUUCCAAACCCUCAUAUAUUUUAAAACAUAUAGAGGACAUUCCUUUGUUUUAGUGUAAGCUCGAAACAGAAACAUUCUAGUGUUCACACGUGAAAAUUUUUAAAAGGUAAUCACGCGGAUUUUAUUCUAAUGCAUAUUAUUAUUAUUUUUAUUUUAUAUUUUCUGCCAACGUAAUGCCAUACGCUAUAUGCAACGUAACUCUACAUUUUAUGGCAAUACUUAUGUUGGAAAAAAGUGACAUAGUAACAUUUCAAUCUACAUGUAAUGUUUUAGUUAAAAAGAUAUCCGAUUCUACGUUAUUUUAUAUUCUUGCGUUAAAUUGUUGUUAAAACAAGUAAAAAUUGUAUUUGGAUUUCUCACCUUUUAAGAGCGGCUUUAUCAGGGUAUAAUGCAUCGUCAUUUUCUUGAAAUCUUCUCAAAAUAUGGUAUAUAAUUCCAUAUGCUAGUAACUGCAGAAUGUACCGAUAAGACCUUAAUUCUUUUAUUCAAAUCCGCAUUCUAGUCCUUUGUCUGGGUCAUCUAAAUGCUGCUUUUAAAAGUCAUUUUGGCCUCAUUUUUAUACACUGAUUUUUACACACUUGUUUGGCAUAACUUUUAACCAACACCUAACUCUGAGCACUAACCUUAACCAUUCGGGGCUGAAGUGACUGUUAAAGCAACUUUGUCUUUUAUGGGAACAAGACUAGCAUAUCUUUAUAAAUGAUGGGUAAAAAUUGUUGGCAAACUUUCAGGUUUUUAGUCUACGCUUUUAAUGAAGUACUGUAAUAUAACGUUAGAUUAUAACAUGAUAAAUUCAUUGUUUUAAACAGAGAGAAAUCCAAAUAUGAUGUUUACUAGAACGGAACUACACUUGAACGCGAAAGGAUAUGAAUUGUAAGGACGUGAAAUAUGCUUAAAAGCAACAAAGUUGUAGCAAACACGAAUAUACACGAGAAAGUCAUUGAAAUAUAAAACAUUCUUAUACAUAUCUUAGACCUAUUGGAACUCAUUUUCCAACAUAAGCAUUGUGACGUCAUAAAAUAUAUCGUUACGUUACCCCUGACGCAUGUCUUACCUGGCAGAAUAAGAAAAGAUAAUAUGAAAAAUAAUUAGUUUAACUCAACAAGACAUAAAGCAAUUCAACAUUUAUGUGUACAAUUUUGUUAAAAUUGUUAGAAGUAAAAAAUUAGAUAUGAAUGUUUCAUAAUAAAUUAUUUCACUUGGGAACGCCAGAUUUAUGUUCACUCGGUGCUGAAAUAAACGAAUGUCUUCUAUAUCUUUUACAAUAGCAAAUGGGUAAAACUUAAGGUGACAGAAAUAACUAAAACGAUCCCUUUCCAUUUUUAAAUGACAACAUUUCAUUUUUGGUGAAAAUAUUGUCUGUUAUACUGAUUUAUUAAUGAUAUACAUUUUGUACCUUGUAUUAUAGUAACGUAGAUACUUUAAAAUAUAAUUCCAAGCUUACCAUAUUUGUAUCCCCCGACAACAAAGUUGUAAGGGGUGGGGUAUACUGGUUUCAGGUUGUCUGUCUGUCUGUCCGUAGACGCAAUCUUGUGCGCACCAUCUCUCCUUAUCCUCUUGACAGAAUUUAAUGAAACUUCACACAAGUGAUCAGUACCAACAGUAGUUGUGCACGGGGUAUGUUAGCUUCUUUUAGAAAAAAAAAUUGCAGAGUUAUGGGACUUUGUUUUUUUGUUACUAUACUAUAUACAUAGACACAAUCUUGUGCGCACCAUCUCUCCUCAUCCCCUUGACACAUUUUAAUGAAACUUCACACAAGUGAUCAGUACCAACAGUAGUUGUGCAUGGGGCAUGUUAGGUUCUUUUAGAAAAAAAUUUUUUAAGAGUUAUGGGACUUUGUUUUUUUGUUACUAUACUAUAUACAUAGACACAGUUUUGUGCGCACCAUCUCUCCUCAUCCCCAUGACACAAUUUAAUGAAACUUCACACAAGUGAUCAGUAACAACAGUAGUUGUGCAUGGGGCAUGUUAGGUUCUUUCAGAAAAAAAUUGCAGAGUUAUGGGACUUUGUUUUUUGUUACUGUACUAUAUAGAUGGACACAAUCUUGUGCGCACCAUCUCUUAUCAUCCGCUUGACACAAUUUAAUGAAACUUCACAGAAGUGAUCAGUAACAACAGUAGUUGUGCAUGGGGCAUGUUAGGUUCUUUCAUCGACAAAAAUUGCAGUUAUGGGACUUUGUUUCUUAUUAACAUACUAUGUACAUAGUCUGCAUAUGCAGUCUUGUGCGUGCCUGAUCUACCGAACCCUUGCACACAUUUUAAUGAAACUUCACACAAGUGAUCAGUACCAACCCUAGUUGUGCAUGGUGCUUGUUACAUUCUUUUAGAUAAAUAUUCUGCAUAGUUAUGGGACUUUGUUUUUGUUACUAUACUGUAUACAUACAGUCUAUAUACAUACAGUCCACAUAAUUAUGCAAUCUGUGUACUGUGUCAGUGCAUGCGGGGGAUACAUUCAUCACCUUUAGUGAUAGCUCUAGUUUCUAAAGGAAUUGAAUUCAAUGAAUCUGUAUUCUGUAUAUAUCGUUUUAAAUUGUAAAAUGAUAGUAUUUUUAGAAGUAUUUUUAUUGUUUUAACACUGUAGUUAUACUUUUUUUAAAUGUUAUUUGUGAUUAUGUUUUACAUUUUAUUUCUGCUUGAAAAAAAAUAAAAUGCCAUACAGUUGUGUUGAUUAUUUUAGUUUAAGAAAUAAAAGGUCAUACAAUUGCAUUGGUUAUUGAUGUUUCGGAAAUCAAAAAUGAUUUUCCUUUAAUAUCUCUU